rnacentral:SRP_RNA from 1 species
GGCGGGCCCCCCCGCAUUGCAGCCUGGUGAACCUGGUCAGGUCCGGAAGGAAGCAGCCACAGCUGGACACUGCAAGUGCCGGGGUCAGGCUCGCCUUG